GUUGGACUUGUCUUGGACUCAGGAGUCACCCUUGGGGACAUAAUGAUGGGCUUCCCUAGGUUUGGAUCCUACUAAUCUCCUGACACUCCCUAAACUCUCUGGCCUCAGUUUCCCCAUCAGAAUGGAAUAAUAAUCCCUGCCCCAUGGGCGUGUGAGGAUCAAGUGAGGAACCCAGUUGCCACAUAUAUGAAUACCUGAGCACACACUCUCUCCACCUUUUCCCUCCAGGAGGAUAAACUGGCAGCCUGGGACAGGGUGAGUGAGAAUGAGGAGCCACUUUCCCUGGCCUUUGCUUUCGGCUGGAGUCAGGAAAGCCAGAGCAGGAUGCAAGUUCAAAAGCUUCAGAGGAUUGAUGGGCCCAGAAGCAGCGCUGGCUCCUACUGCUCCACUCCUCGUAGCUCUCCUCCUGGGCCCCAAGCUGCUACUGGUGGUUGGUGUCUCUGCCAUCUACAUCUGCUGGAAACAGAAGGCCUGACUGACCCUCAGUCUCUGCUGCCUCCUCCUUUCUUGAGAAGCUCAGCCUGAGAGAAGGAGCUGGCGAGAACCUUCCCCACACUCAGCUCCAAACGCCUCCUCUCCCAGGUCAUCUGCCUGCCCACACGCUCCUGUUCCACCUUCACAAGACCAUGAUGCCCCAAAGCAGUGUCUCUAUUCACGGUCCUGAGCAGGGGCCAUGGGAUUGGGCUCUGGGCACUGACUCAUGGCACCUCCCUAGAAGGUGAGAAACACUCCAAAUCUAAACACACCAGGACUUCUCCCAUCCGUCGCCUUGGGACUGGCCAUAAACCACAGACUCUCUCCAGGCUCUCAAGAGUUAUCCUGUCUUCUGGAUUCCUGCCUACCCCAACUCCCCCAGCCUUGUUGAGGUUCUCUACUGCCUCCUGAAUACACAUGAACCCCUAUACCAAUUUUAAGAAAAAAAUGAUUCUCUUUCCUCUUUGUCCAAGCAUCCUAUCCCUCAAACCCAAAAAGAAAGAAGCUCUCCCUUCUCUCUCUGUGAUGGAGACAGUAUUUCUUCUAGUAUCCUGCAGCCUUCCCAGUCCUGCUGCUUGUGGUAGAAAUGCUGCCACAGCCCAACAUUGAGGAGCCCUCGAUGACUGCCCUUUACAACUCAUAUUCAGUUCUGCCUCCAAAAUGCAUGUGUCCACUUACAUGAGAUGGUAAAUGUUUAACAAUGGACUUUCUGAAAGGGAAAAACCAAAAGCUGUUUUGCAGUGCUUGCCAAUUUCUCUAGUGUAAUAACUCCCAACCUGACCAAUUUCACACUGCCAACAGUUAAACAACCAGAUUGCAAGAUUCCUGAAAUUUAACAAUUGGUUUUCAGGGCCCAGUCCAAGCCUGCUGCUGGAAACCUCAGAGUUAAAUCCCUAUUCUCCACACCUCUCACCUCCACCACCCCUCCCUGUCCCAGCCAGCAUCAUCUCUUUGGGGACCACUCCUCUGGCUUUCAUUUUUCAGCCACAGUGAUUCUUUGGAAAAGUCAAAUCAUAUCACUUCUCUGCUUCUUCCCCAACACAGCUGCAUGGCUCCCGCUCUCCCUCCUUCAAGUCUCUGCUCAAUGUCACUUCAUUAAAGGCACCUUCUAUAAACUACCUUGUAUAAAAUAUUAUUUAUUUUCUCUAUCCCGGCAUUCUAAUUUCUCUUAUCCUAAUUAAUUUUUCUUUAGCCCUUAUUUUGAUGAGUAUUAUGCCGAAUACAGGCAGCCCUCACUUUUCAUGGCAGUGCAAGAUUGCAAAAAUGACUGUGCAACCUGAAACCCAGGAAAGCAGUCUCCAUAGUCAAUCAGAAAAACAAUGAUCAUUCUGUGACCUUUACCAUUUUUUGUCAAAAUAUUAGAAACUCUCACACUCUCAGUUACAAAUGUAGAGGACAAUGAAAAUAUAAUGAAAUAAAUAUUUAUUUGUGCACUACAAUUCAAAGCAUUAGAAACAUUGAGAGUUCAAGUGCUGUUUCUUUGUAAAAAUGUAUCCAGAGUAGUUGGAAGAGUGCUUGCCUUUUUUUGUAUAUUUCUAAUAUGGAGUGAUAUAGUUUGGCUCUGUGUCUCCAUCCAAAUCUCAUCUUAAAUUGUAAUCUGCAUGUGUUGUGGGAUGGGCCUGGUAGGAGGUGACUGAAUCAUGGGGGCGGACUUCCCCCUUGCUGUUCUUGUGAUAGUGAGUUCUCAUAAGAUCUCAGUGAGUUCUCAUGAGAUCUGGUUUUUUGAAAGUGUGUGGCAAGUCCCCCUUCGCUCUCUCUCUCUCUCUCCCUCCUGCCACCAUGUGAAGAAGGUGCCUGCUUCCUUUUCUCCUUCCACCAUGGUUGUAAGUUUCCUGAGGCCUCCCAGUCAUGCUUCCUGUUAAGCCUGUGGAACUGUGAGUCCAAUUAAACCUCUUUUAUUCAUAAAAUAUCCAGUUUCUGGUAGUUCUUUAUAGCAGUGUGAGAAUGGGCUAAUACACGGAGCAAGCAUUGUUUCUUUUCAUUUGUUUAUUUUAUUUUUAUUUUUUUGAGAUGGAGUUUCACCCUUAUUGCCCAGGCUGGAGUGCAAUGUCGUGAUCUUGGCUCACUGCAACCCCCGCCUCCAGGGUUCAAGUGAUUCUCCUGCCUCAGCCUCCUGAGUAGCUGGGAUUACAGGCAUGUACCACCACACCCAGCUAAUUUUGUAUUUUUAGUAGAGAUGGGGUUUCUCCAUGUUGAUCAGACUAGUCUUGAACUCCCGACCUCAGGUGAUCCACCUGUCUUGGCCUCCCAAAGUGCUGGGAUUACAGGCAUGAGCCACCAUGCCUAGCCAGCAAGCAUCAUUUCUAUUAUACCUUGGUGUUUUGCCAUCUUUCUAAGUUUGGACUAGCUUCCAACAUCUUAUCCCUUGAAUUUUCAAUAUUGUGGAAUCACUCCAGAAGAUCCUUUCAUGUGAAGUUUUUUGCUGGCAUUUCAACCUUUGGGACAUCUUCAGCCCUUUUAUUACCACUCCUCUCCCAUUUGUGGCAGUUUGCGUUUACUACCUCCCUCUGGCUGCCUAUCUGAAGUUCCUGCAUCAGGGUCUACAUUGCCACAGUCAACUAUUUGUACUUCUAGAAUUCCACUCACAUUCAAUUUGAACCUCACUUGCAGCAUUUUCACUUCUCAUUUCUUCACUGCACUUUCAUCUUGGUUGCAAAAUUCCUCUUUCAAUUAUUCAUUUCUGUAAAAUGUCAUAUGGGCUCAUCACUGGGAGGCAAGGAGGCAACCCAACUAUAGGAUUUGCUGUUUGAGUAGGAGAGCCAUAGGGACCAAUCACCAACAGACUUUGAAAGACACAACAUGACUGGUUACUGAUCAUGACGAGCUUUUAUUACCAUGGUGAUUUGUGGACUGAAGAGCUAGCCCAGAAGUUUGUACUCUAUGCAAAUUACAUUAAAUUUACUAUGGCACCUAAAUUUUGAGACUUGUGUUGUGGGACUGAUGUUACUUAACUAAACUAUGGUAAGAGAAAUGCAUGCAUGUCAUCACCAAAGUGAGAACUGCCUGUAUUUAUCUAUGUUACGCAAAUGGAAUGUCA
rnacentral:lncRNA from 1 species